AGAGUUUGAUCCUGGCUCAGGAUGAACGCUAGCGGCAGGCUUAAUACAUGCAAGUCGAGGGGCAGCGCGGGUAGCAAUACCUGGCGGCGGCCGGCAAACGGGUGAGGAACAUGUACGCAACCUUCCUUUAACUGGAGGAUAGCCCAUCGAAAGAUGGAUUAAUACUCCGUAACAUAAUGAUAAGGCAUCUUAUUAUUAUUAUAGCUCCGGCGGUUAAAGAUGGGCGUGCAACUGAUUAGAUAGUUGGUGAGGUAAUGGCUCACCAAGUCUGCGAUCAGUAACUGGUGUGAGAGCACGACCAGUCACACGGGCACUGAGACACGGGCCCGACUCCUACGGGAGGCAGCAGUAAGGAAUAUUGGUCAAUGGACGCAAGUCUGAACCAGCCAUGCCGCGUGGAGGAUUAAGGCCCUUGGGUUGUAAACUCCUUUUAUCUGGGAAGAAAUGCAUUUUUUCUAAAGUGCUUGACGGUACCAGAGGAAUAAGCACCGGCUAACUCCGUGCCAGCAGCCGCGGUAAUACGGAG
rnacentral:rRNA from 3 species